rnacentral:rRNA from 1 species
CACACCAUUUUUUUCCCAUUCAAAAUAGAAAUGGUUGUCGAUCCCGUCUGAUCUCGGAAGCUAAGCAGGGUUGUUCCUGGUUAGUACUUGGGUGGGAGACCACCUAAGAAGACCAGGUGCUGUAGUCG